AAGAGGUGCGGGCCCUAAAGAAAGAGGUGUGGGCCCUGAAGAGAGCAGUUUGUGACCUAAAGAGAGAGUUUUGGUUCCUAAAGAGUGGGGUUUGGGCCCUAAAGAGUGGGGUUUGGGCCCUAAAGAGUGGGGUUUGGGCCCUAAAGAGAGUGGUUUGCAGCCUUAAGAGAGGGGCUAGCCCCUAAAGAGAAGGGUUUGGGCCCUAAAGACAGGGGUCUGGGCCCUAAAGAAAGAGGUGUGGGCCCUAAAGAUAGCAGUUUGGGUCCUAAAGAGAGGGGUUUGGGCCCUAAUGGGUUUGGGCCCUAAAGAGAAGGGUUUGGGUCCUCAAGGGAGGAGUUUGGGCCCUAAAGAGAGCGGUUUGGGCCCUAAAAAGAGGGGUUUGGGCCUAAAGAGAAGAGUUUGUGCCCUAAAGAGAAGGGUUUUGGACCUGAAGGGUUUGGGCCCUAAAGAGAGGGGUUUGGUCCGUAAAGAGAAGGGUUUGGGCCCUAAAAAAGAAGUGUGGGCCCUGAAGAGAGCAGUUUGGGCCCUAAAGAGAAGGGUUUGCGCCCUAGAGAGAAGUGUUUGGGCCCUAAAGAGAAGGGUUUGGUCCAUAAAGAAAGGGGUCAGGGCCCUAAAGAGAGGGGUUUGGGCCCUAAAGAGAAGGGUUUGGGCCUAAAGA
rnacentral:lncRNA from 1 species